UACGUAGGGUGCGAGCGUUGUCCGGAAUUAUUGGGCGUAAAGAGCUUGUAGGCGGUUUGUCGCGUCUGCCGUGAAAAUCCGGGGCUCAACCCCGGACUUGCAGUGGGUACGGGCAGACUGGAGUGUGGUAGGGGAGACUGGAAUUCCUGGUGUAGCGGUGGAAUGCGCAGAUAUCAGGAGGAACACCAAUGGCGAAGGCAGCUCGCUGGGACGGUACUGACGCUGAGGCGCGAAAGCGUGGGGAGCAAACAGG
rnacentral:rRNA from 1 species